AGUGAACGCUGGCGGUAGGCCUAACACAUGCAAGUUGAACGGCAGCACAGUAAGAGCUUGCUCUUACGGGUGGCGAGUGGCGGACGGGUGAGGAAUACAUCGGAAUCUACUUUUUCGUGGGGGAUAACGUAGGGAAACUUACGCUAAUACCGCAUACGACCUACGGGCGAAAGCAGGGGAUCUUCGGACCUUGCGCGAUUGAAUGAGCCGAUGUCGGAUUAGCUAGUUGGCGGGGUAAAGGCCCACCAAGGCGACGAUCCGUAGCUGGUCUGAGAGGAUGAUCAGCCACACUGGAACUGAGACACGGUCCAGACUCCUACGGGAGGCAGCAGUGGGGAAUAUUGGACAAUGGGCGCAAGCCUGAUCCAGCCAUACCGCGUGGGUGAAGAAGGCCUUCGGGUUGUAAAGCCCUUUUGUUGGGAAAGAAAAGCAGCAGGUUAAUACCCCGCUGUUCUGACGGUACCCAAAGAAUAAGCACCGGCUAACUUCGUG
rnacentral:rRNA from 1 species